rnacentral:lncRNA from 1 species
CGGCAAUGAUUUGAAUGAUUUAUCCGCGCUUCUGAGAGUAAUCAGUGAAGUAAAGGAUUCAAAAUGGUUGAAUUUCUUAAUAUGAGCCGACGAAGGUUUAUGAAAAUAUGCAGUGAUGAUUGAAUACACAGCUUUAAGCCAGUUCUGCUUCAGAGAAUUCAUGAUUGAUAGAGCUGUUAUUUACUCUGAGCUUCUUCAUUUGUUUUUUUUUUAUUUUAAUAUUUUUCGAUGAUGAUAUAAUCCAAUUUUAUGAGGUACGUGGAUCCAAGACCCUGUUUUACAGGGAGAACCACUUGGUUGAAGCUGUAUUUCAAAUGGUAUUACUGGAUUUUACUGAGGAUUAUUAAUUUUUAUUAAUAUUAUUGAGUUUAAACUAUACUUUUUACCCUGGAUUAUGUAACGGGUUUGGAGUCUGAAAAAACUCAGAAAAUAUGUGUUGUCAUCAGCUUCUUCUUUCGUAAUAUUAACGAGACUGGAGUUAAAUAACAGCACAAAAUUG